UGGGGAAUUUUCCGCAAUGGGCGCAAGCCUGACGGAGCAAUACCGCGUGAGGGAGGAAGGCUUUUGGGUUGUAAACCUCUUUUCUCAAGGAAGAAGUCCUGACGGUACUUGAGGAAUCAGCAUCGGCUAACUCCGUGCCAGCAGCCGCGGUAAUACGGAGGGGGCUAGCGUUGUUCGGAAUCACUGGGCGUAAAGCGCGCGUAGGCGGAUCAGUCAGUCAGGGGUGAAAUCCCGAGGCUCAACCUCGGAACUGCCCUUGAUACUGCUGAUCUUGAGGUCGAGAGAGGUGAGUGGAAUUCCUAGUGUAGAGGUGAAAUUCGUAGAUAUUAGGAAGAACACCAGUGGCGAAGGCGGCUCACUGGCUCGAAUCUGACGCUGAGGUGCGAAAGCGUGGGGAGCAAACAGGAUUAGAUACCCCUGUAGUCC
rnacentral:rRNA from 1 species